rnacentral:rRNA from 1 species
GAUGAACGCUGGCGGCGUGCCUAAUACAUGCAAGUCGAGCGAACAGACGAGGAGCUUGCUCCUCUGACGUUAGCGGCGGACGGGUGAGUAACACGUGGAUAACCUACCUAUAAGACUGGGAUAACUUCGGGAAACCGGAGCUAAUACCGGAUAAUAUAUUGAACCGCAUGGUUCAAUAGUGAAAGACGGUUUUGCUGUCACUUAUAGAUGGAUCCGCGCCGCAUUAGCUAGUUGGUAAGGUAACGGCUUACCAAGGCAACGAUGCGUAGCCGACCUGAGAGGGUGUUCGGCCACACUGGAACUGAGACACGGUCCAGACUCCUACGGGAGGCAGCAGUAGGGAAUCUUCCGCAAUGGGCGAAAGCUUGACGGAGCAACGCCGCGUGAGUGAUGAAGGUCUUCGGAUCGUAAAACUCUGUUAUUAGUGAAGAACAAAUGUGUAAUUAACUAUGCACGUCUUGACGGUACCUAAUCAGAAAGCCACGGCUAACUACGUG